GACGAACGCUGGCGGCGUGCUUAACACAUGCAAGUCGAACGCUGAAGCUCAGCUUUUGUUGGGUGGAUGAGUGGCGAACGGGUGAGUAACACGUGAGUAACCUGCCCCCUUCUUUGGGAUAACGCCCGGAAACGGGUGCUAAUACUGGAUAUUCACUGGUCUUCGCAUGGGGGUUGGUGGAAAGGGUUUUUCUGGUGGGGGAUGGGCUCGCGGCCUAUCAGCUUGUUGGUGGGGUGAUGGCCUACCAAGGCUUUGACGGGUAGCCGGCCUGAGAGGGUGAGCGGUCACAUUGGGACUAAGAUACGGCCCAGACUCCUACGGGAGGCAGCAGUGGGGAAUAUUGCACAAUGGGCGCAAGCCUGAUGCAGCGACGCCGCGUGAGGGAUGGAGGCCUUCGGGUGGUGAACCUCUUUCGCUCAUGGUCAGGCCGCAACAAUGGUUGUGGUGAGGGUAGUGGGUAAAGAAGCGCCGGCUAACUACGU
rnacentral:rRNA from 1 species